rfam:TPA: Bos taurus chromosome X, whole genome shotgun sequence.
UCCCUGGUGGCUCAGAUGGUAAAGAAUCUGCCUGCAAUGCAGGAGGCCCAGGUUCAAUCCCUUGGUGGGGAA